rnacentral:rRNA from 1 species
UACGUAGGGGGCAAGCGUUGUCCGGAAUCAUUGGGCGUAAAGCGCGUGUAGGCGGCUCGAUAAGUCUGCUGGGAAAGUCCAGGGCUCAACCCUGGGAUGCCGGUGGAUACUGUCGAGCUCGAGUCCGGAAGAGGCGAGUGGAAUUCCUGGUGUAGCGGUGAAAUGCGCAGAUAUCAGGAGGAACACCAAUGGCGAAGGCAGCUCGCUGGGACGUGACUGACGCUGAGGAGCGAAAGCGUGGGGAGCGAACAGG